AUAGCGACUAUCGUGGCAUAUCAAUAAGCGGAGGAAAAGAAACUAACAAGGAUUCCCUUAGUAACGGCGAGUGAAGCGGGAAGAGCUCAAAUUUGAAAUCCUUCAAGGUUUUACCUUAACGAAUUGUAGUUUAAAGAAGUGUUUUCUGUUGAAGUUUUCGGUAAAAGUUCUUUGGAAUAGGACAUCAUAGAGGGUGAGAAUCCCGUAUUUGACCAGUUAUUUUCAGCUGUGUGAUACACUUUCAAAGAGUCGGAUUGUUUGGGAAUGCAGUCCAAAAUGGGUGGUAAAUUUCAUCUAAAGCUAAAUAUUGGCGAGAGACCGAUAGCGAACAAGUACCGUGAGGGAAAGAUGAAAAGAACUUUGAAAAGAGAGUUAAACAGUACGUGAAAUUGUCAAAAGGGAAGCGUUUGACACCAGUGUUGUUUUCUCGAAAAUCAAUUAAAAAAGGCUGGAUUUUGUGUUGUAUUGACCUUAAAAGCUUUCUUCACUCUUUUCUUGUCUUUUUUAAUGCACUUUUCGUUUAACAAGUCAACAUCAGUUUCUUUUGUUGUAAAAGGGUCAUUGGAAGGUGGCUUUCUUUUCGGAGAAAGUGUUUAUAGCCUUUGAUCUCUGCAACCGGAGAGACUGAGGUCUGCAGCGUAGACUCUUCGGGGUUAGAUACACUUGUGCUAAGCUAUAGCUUUUUAUAGACAACUUGUUGACUAUAUUUAGUCUUGUGGCUUACUCGCUUAUGCUAUUUUACCUACGCUUAGGAUGUUGAUAGUCACAGCGUGUAC
rnacentral:rRNA from 1 species